rnacentral:SRP_RNA from 1 species
ACCGGGCAUGGUGGCGUGUGCCUGUGGUCCCAGCUACUCAGGAGGCUGAGGUGGAAAGACCGCUUGAGCCCAGGAGUUCUGGGCUGUAGUGUCCUAUGCCGAUCAGGUUUCUGCACUAAGUUCAGCAUCAUUAUGGUGACCUCCUGGGAGUGGGGACCACCAGGUUGCCUAAAGAGGGGUGAACUGGCCCAGCUCAGAAGUGGAGCAGGUCAAAACUCCCGUGCUGAUCGGUAGUGGGAUCGUGCCUGUGAAUAGCCAUUGCACUGCAGCCUGGGCAACAUAGCAAGACCCCGUCUCU